AGUGCCUUGGGUUCAGCCCAGGGUAGCUCCCUGUUCUGUUAAUUAAACUUUCAGACAUCAACAGGCUAGAGCAGAUGAUUACCUAGAAAACAGUACCAUAUCCAUUUGCCUCCUAGCCUACAAAA